GUUAAUGUUGGUUGCGAGAUACAGAAGAAUAAGAAGGACACACAGAAGAAGAAGAGAGAUUAUUUCCACAGCUCCACGUGCUCUUUUCGCGAUUGGCGAAAGCAUCAUAUUUAAAGAUCAAUUAAACAUGAAAAGAAAGGGAGAGAUCUCAGACUUCUGUUCCAAAAGGACACAAUGACGUUUUGAAGAUCCAGAGAAGACGGUCCUGUACCAGCUGUGUUUGUAAACAUUUCCCAGAACUCAGCAUGGUUCUCGGAAAAGGGCUUUCAACAUCUCCUGGAAUAAGGACAAUUCAUGGCUUGAAUAUACUGUAAAUCAAGAUUCGACUUAUUGUUUCGCCUGUAUGCAUUUUUCUCUGCCCAAUAGACCUGAAUCUGCCUUCACACCACAGUCGGGUUAUUGCAACUGGAAAAAGGCGCUAUUUGAAGAUUCUGGGUUUAAGCUCCAUUCGAAGGCAGAGCAUCAUAUCAAUGCUGUGUAUUGCUUGGAAUCAUCAUAAAAGGGCUAUUGACAGCAACUCAUUAAUGUUAGACGUCAUAAAUGAGGACCGGAAAAAGUAAGUGGAGGAGAACUCUACUUACAUUAAAACAACUGCAGAUGUGCUCCUAUUAACUGCCACUCAAAAUAUAGCGCAGCGAGGUCAUCGAGAGUCUGAUGACUCUCACAACCAGGGUUUUUUUUUUUUUUUUUUUUUUUACAUUUAGAAGAAAUCGCAAAGCAUGACCCUCUCAUAGAGAAAGGGAUGAAUGCAUGUGGCAAUGCUAAGUACACGAGCCACCAAAUCCAGAACAAAAUUCUUGAGGGCUUAAGCUGAGAUGGUACAAAGUGAAAUAAUAUGAUGUGUAAAAGAAAAAAGUUUUUAGUGUAAUUACAGAUGAAACCAGAGAUUUAAAGAAAAAAAAUAACAAAUGUCUUUAGUUGUGUGGUACUAUUACAAUGGGGCCAUCCACGAAAGCGUUUUACACUUUGUCAGCUGAAAGCUUAGAUGCAGCAGGUCUCACAAAAAUUAUAAUUGAUUGCCUUGAAAAACAUUGUUCUGGACUACAGAAAUAAUCUUGUUAGGCAAGGCUAUAACGGUGCAUCCGUCAUGAGCGGAAAGCAUUCUGGUGUGUCCGGAUUCAAAAUUGUAUGUGCGCUGUAACGCACAUGUUUUGGUUCUUGUCGAUGCUGUAAAAUCAGUGCCUGAGACAGUGUACUUUUUUGCUCUCCUGCAGAAGUUUUAUAUCUGGCUCGUACGUUCAUCUCAAGUGGCUUGCAGUUCAAAAAGAGCCGUAGCCACAGUAACAGCCCAGGGAACGACAGGGACUUACGGAUGUAAGGUGGGCAUGCAGAUACAUCACAUGCCGUAAUCUGAGGGACAGGCUUCCAGCAGUUCUGGGAGUGCUACAGGAUACCAUACUUGAAAAUAUUGGUGAUAGAUUAGUGGAGGCAAGGGGCCUUCUUUCUCAGAUUGACAUUUCAUAGAGCUUUUGGUUACCUUUUUUUAUAAAGUGCUUGGUGAUGCCAAAUGUCUUUCUGACAUGCUCCAAUCAAGCGCUCUCGACCUAGCAAGGGCUGUGGAUCUAGUAGGUGCCCGUACAGACACAUUACAGGACUACAGAGGGUGACUUUGGAGAACUAUGGAAAGAGGUUGCAGAGCACUGCAAAAUAAGUGUACAAACUUUGUGUAAAAGACAGCCUAAAACAAGCUUAAAAUUUCACGACUCAUUGAUGAUGAGCACUGUAGGACAAAAAAAUAGUGACCAAAGUGAUGGUGAGAGCUUCCAAAGAGUUAUCUUUUAUCUGGUGCUUGACAGUCUCACAGCUGAGCUGCAGAAUUGUUUUUCAAAGCAGAAUUGCGAGAUAAUGCAAGGGGUCCAGUCUCUCAACCCAAAGAGUACAACAUUCUUGAAUGAGGAGCCUCUGUUUGCCUUUGAGUCAGAUUUAGAGGACCUCAAACAUGAGGUUCAUCAAACCAAGCGGCCUCUUGAUACAAGAGAGAAAAGUGGAAGGGACAGACCGUCUCCUCUCCUUGACUUUGUUGUGUUUCUAGAACCUUAUAAAGAGGUCUUCCAUGAGCUAUUUCGACAUUGCAAGAUUUCUGUUGUUACAUCAGUCAGCAGUGCUUCUUGCGAGAGAAGCUUCUCAGCUUUAAAACGGAUUAAAACUCACCUUAGGACAACAAUGGUCAAUGACAGGUUAAGUCACCUCGGGAAUUCUCAGUGUUGAGUCGAGGAGGGCACGCUCCCUCGACAUGGAUGAGUUUGUGAAACAUUUAGUCAGUUCUCACCAGAACAGUAUAAUUAUGCUGUUUUAAAUCUACCUAGGAUAAUUUGGCACUUAGGCAGUCCCUCUGGUCAUGAUUAAAACCUGCACUGUGUACUAGCUAGAACACUGACAUUCUAAAAUCAUAAAUCCAAAGGGUAUCAUGUCACAUGUUAUUCGGUCUUGAUUAGGCCGAUUCCAAAACUUUUCUUAGCUAUUAGUUAACAUAUAUCUUAUGAACAUAAAUAUGUAAGUAUGUAAUAUUGAUGGGCUCCCAAAUUAUUUUUAAGUCAAUUUCUGCUUGAUA